GAAGAAGGCAGGAGGCGUGCUUAACACAUGCAAGUCGAACGGAAAGGCCCUGCUUUUGUGGGGUGCUCGAGUGGCGAACGGGUGAGUAACACGUGAGUAACCUGCCCUUGACUUUGGGAUAACUUCAGGAAACUGGGGCUAAUACCGGAUAGGAGCUCCUGCUGCAUGGUGGGGGUUGGAAAGUUUCGGCGGUUGGGGAUGGACUCGCGGCUUAUCAGCUUGUUGGUGGGGUAGUGGCUUACCAAGGCUUUGACGGGUAGCCGGCCUGAGAGGGUGACCGGCCACAUUGGGACUGAGAUACGGCCCAGACUCCUACGGGAGGCAGCAGUGGGGAAUAUUGCACAAUGGGCGGAAGCCUGAUGCAGCAACGCCGCGUGCGGGAUGACGGCCUUCGGGUUGUAAACCGCUUUCGCCUGUGACGAAGCGUGAGUGACGGUAAUGGGUAAAGAAGCACCGGCUAACUACGUG
rnacentral:rRNA from 1 species